CCCACGCCCGCCAGGCCGCCUGCCCCGCCCCGGCCUGGCCGCCCAGAGCGCGAAGGAGGGGGAUAAAUAAAUUCAACUGUUACCGGAAUCCGGGGGGCGUCUGCGAGACACCCAGGGGGAAGGGGGGCCGGCGCCCAUUCCCCACUCCUAGGCCCUGACGCCCCUGUCCCGGCAGCCCGGGCCUGCCGCCCCGCGGGAGAGCCUCAGGGCCGGCGCCUGAUUCCGCCCCGCAGCGCCGCCGUCCCGCUUGGAGGCCCCGGGGGACUCCAGGGGGCGCGUGCAGGCCCGGGGUGCGGGGGCAGGGCGCGGCUGCCGCGGGGCCCGCCGGCCCGAGGCCUAGCCGGCGAGCCCCCUCCCGCCGCACACCCCCACCCCGGCCCGCGCAGGCCGCGCCACCCAGCCCGCUCCCGCCCCGGCGGGACCCCCGCCCGCCCGUCCGCCAGCCUUUGGUCGCCGCCGGCGGACGCCCCGAGGCCCGUAGGCCCCAGGCCCCCGCCACCCCAGCGCCGGCCCCACUCACCCUUUCAUUCUCCGCCCCGGGCCUGGCGUGGGCCGGCAAAUCCCCGGCCUCACGCUGACAGAUCAGAGUGAGAGGCGCUGGCAAUGGACUAGGAAGCUCGGCUGCUGCUGCUACUGCUCCCCCCUGGGCUUCGGCGAGAGCCUUUCCCUGUCAAGCAAGAGGGGUGAGGAUCAUAUUUUUAUUUUGGAAAGUAAAAAGUGCUCCCAGGGUCGGUGAUUAUUAAGGGGAAAUCCCUGAAUAUACUCUCCAGCCAAGAAGGCAGGGCUGCCGGGGCUGCACAAGAAGAGGCAGCAGCCUCCUACAGCACCACUACAGGCACUGCGAGGACAUAACACCAGAGAGUGGCUCCUCUGCCCUCCGAAACGACAACUUUCCUACCAUCUUGGAGGCAGAGCAAAGGGGGGCCAGGGGGAAAAGUGCACUCGCUCCCGAUAAAGUACACGUUUCUACUUCUCACCUCUGGAAAAAAGUCCACACCGGCCGUCGACACCGGCGCCUGGGGGAAAAAGCAGGAAAGAAACUGAGGGUUCUUGAGAAACGUGUUCAUUUGCUCCAGGGGGGAAUGUGUUUCUGCAUCUUCUGAUGGGAAGAAAUCUUUACAAGACACAGGUUUUCCGGUUUAAGUUCUGUGUCUGGGAGACAGUUUAUAAAUUUGUACUUCAAGAGGCUUCAUAGUCAUUUUGUCUACUUAUGUUACGAUAUAUAUAAAUAUUUAUGUUUCUCAUAUAUACAUAUAUAGGCAUCUAUCUGUGUUACAUAUUCUACUCCAAACUGAGAUUGAUUGCUGUAAGACAAUUGUAAAGAGAUGUCUUUUGUCUCCUCCUCGCAAAGCAAUGUAAAUAAAACCUAUUGACUUCCCAGAAAGGCAUAAUACAGCUGUUUAUUUUUCACAGUGCAAAUAAAAGCAGACAUCACUGGGGGUUUAAAUCCAACCCUAUGUUUCUGGAAAUAAUCCUAAUUUUAUUGCGGUCUGCCCAUGAAGGAAAGUUACUGUAAACCUGGAAAUAGAUCUUAAAGACGGCUUUAGGUUUCUUUAAGGAAAAUUAUUAAGAAUGAUAAAUUUCAUUUUAAUCUAUCUUAGAGUCCUUAAAGUUUAGGUUUUUGUAUUACACGUGUUGCUCUCUGCUUCCUGUAUCACAGAAUUGAGAAUUCUGUUUAUUUUUGUUAAAGUUGAAAUGUUAGAUCAGAACUUUCAGUGUACUGCCUGUCUAUAUGAAUGACUUUUCAUAUAUUACAACAGAUGUCAUGAAGUUUUUUUUUUAAUGAGCAAAACA